GGUGAUGUAGCUCAGUGGUAGAGCUCUUACCUGGCACGUGAGGGCCUUGGAUUUGAUCCUCAAUACCA
rnacentral:tRNA from 1 species